rnacentral:rRNA from 1 species
CACGUAGGUGGAUUGUUAAGUCGGGGGUGAAAUCCUGGAGCUCAACUCCAGAACUGCCUUCGAUACUGGCGAUCUCGAGUUCGGGAGAGGUGAGUGGAACUGCGAGUGUAGAGGUGAAAUUCGUAGAUAUUCGCAAGAACACCAGUGGCGAAGGCGGCUCACUGGCCCGAUACUGACGCUGAGGUGCGAAAGCGUGGGAGCAAACA